UGACAGAAAAAGUCAUUUAUUACUUUAUUAGAUUCGGGUGAUUAAAAGUAUGGAUAAACUCAGCAAGACAAAUAGACUCUAAGGUGAUCUUUCAAGUGCCGAUGUUACCUCAACAAGUUGGGAGGUGCUCCUCCCAUCAUCCUUGGUGCUGGCUUAGGCCACGGACUUAUUGGAGUAACCAAAUGCCACAGGUCUCAGGUUCGAGGGCCGUGAGAGAGAGCAGAGAGAGAAUGAAGCAAACAAAGAAAAACCAAAUGAGCACGGAGGGCAAUAAUCAACGGCAAUGGCAAUAUUAUCACACUAUUUACACCAAUGUCAAAACAGGAUUUUAGAGCUUGAAACUACGCUUGAGCUUUCCAUGAUUUGGUACAUGUAGAUAUGGAUGCGUUUUAGGCGGCUGAUGAAACUUUUGAGUAAAUCCUUCAUUUAAGGUUAUAUGAUGAAGCUUACCUUGAUAUUUCCGAGAUCUGCAAAGAAAGAAGCUUUACUGGUGGAGUAAAUUUGUACCAUCAUUUUGGCAUUCUGACUGCUUCUGUGAUAGGCGUUUAAGCUGAUGCCUUUCUUUUAUCUUCCUAUUCAGAUUGCUUAAGAAUUCAGAUCUCUGAGUACACGAAGAGACUGGUUUGACAUGUAGAAUAGCAGUGCCUCCAAAUUGCUUACUAUGUUCUGUUUUUAGCACAUAAUUGCUCUUGGCAAGUUGCAUCUGCAAAACCCAUUAUUGCAUUGGCAUAUGUCUAUAAUUUCCAAUGGGAAGUCAUUGCUCCAGAUUGUUGAGGUCCAUAUUGAUGUUGGAUGAGAAUAGGGCAAUCUUUUGUUGAUUAGCAGUACAUUGUUGUUGAGUGCUGAAUUAUUAUUUGUUAUGUGGUUAUUUAUCAGAUACAGGUGAAAACAAUUACAUUCUGGUAAAAAGAGCUUGAGGAAAUGGAUAAAAUUCAUGAACUUUCAAGCUACAAAACUGUGACUAUGAUAAUCAUUAAAGUUUAUUACCAAUUAUUUAACUAGACUAGUCGCUAGAUCUUCACGUGUUCAUCCUCAAUACUUCUUCUAGUGUGGAAGAUUCCUGAUUGAUGGCCAAAAAAACAAGACUGCUGAUUGUAUAGCGUGUACUCAAUCUCCCCCAAAACAAGCAUUACGAAGAAGAUUCUUCUGCCGAGUGGGAGCCUGGAGACUGCAAUCCUGAUGGAACAAAUAAAGAACUUAGCACCUCACUAUCUCAGGGAAUGAGGAAUCUUUUUCAUCAAAUCACAAGUUUUGUUGAAGAAAACCAAAAGCACUCUUCAGUCGGAGGAAUCUGGCACAGAUUCGAGCCCAUUGAUGCCAAGGAAAAGAUACUACAAGUUGAUGUGUAUAAUAUAAGCAAAAUGCGUUCAGGGCUGAUAAUUUGCUUUAACUUCGAUAUAAUAUUUGUUCUUAAGUUUAGUUUGGGGAAAAA